rnacentral:rRNA from 1 species
GCAAGUCGAACGGUAACAGGUCUUCGGAUGCUGACGAGUGGCGGACGGGUGAGUAACGCGUAGGAAUCUGCCCACGGGUGGGGGAUACCGUCUGGAAACGGACGUUAAUACCGCAUAAUACCUUAGUGUCAAAGGGGGCUUUUAGCUCUCGCCUGUGGAUGAGCCUGCGGAAGAUUAGCGGGUGGGUGGGGUAAGGGCCCACCAAGGCGACGAUCUUUAGCUGAUUUGAGAGGAUGAGC